AACGUAGGUGGCAAGCGUUAUCCGGAAUUAUUGGGCGUAAAGCGCACGUAGGCGGCUUGGCAAGUCGGAUGUGAAAGCCCUCGGCUCAACCAAGGAAGUGCAUCCGAAACUGCUGAGCUUGAGUACUUAAGAGGAUCGCGGAAUUCCCGGUGUAGAGGUGAAAUUCGUAGAUAUCGUGAGGAACACCAGAGGCGAAGGCGGUUACCUGGACAGUUACUGACGCUCAGGCACGAAAGCAUGGGGAGCAAAAGGG
rnacentral:rRNA from 1 species